UACGGGGGGGCAAGCGUUGUCCGGAAUCAUUGGGCGUAAAGCGCGCGUAGGCGGCCCGGUAAGUCCGUUGUGAAAGUCAAAGGCUCAACCUUUGAACGCCGAUGGAUACUGCCGGGCUAGAGUCCGGAAGAGGCGAGUGGAAUUCCUGGUGUAGCGGUGGAAUGCGCAGAUAUCAGGAGGAACACCAAUAGCGAAGGCAGCUCGCUGGGACGGUACUGACACUGAGACGCGAAAGCGUGGGGAGCGAACAGG
rnacentral:rRNA from 1 species